rnacentral:rRNA from 1 species
AUGAGCGCAAGAGAGAUGGUGGAGGAACUGAUGAGCAUCAAGGAGCUUUACAACGAUGCUAGGUCAUGUCCAAAAUGCAGAAUGACCAUCAGCAAAACCGAAGGUUGCAACAAGGUGGUGUGCAUCAGUUGUGGUCAGGCAUUCUGUUUCCUUUGCGGUAAGGCUAUCAUCGCUGGCUAUGCCCAUUUCAGUAGGAACUGUGACCUCUUUGCGGAGAAGGAAAAGGACACGAUGGACUGGCGGAAGCGCCUGGAACAACUCGAAACCGGAAACCGCAUGCGAGUUCAAAGCCAGCCGGUAGGCAGCACCGUGAAAUGCCCGAAAUGCCGUCAAAAGAUUUACAAGGGCGACGAUAAGUAUAUUUUCUGCUGGGUGUGCCAAGCCACCUAUUGCACGAUGUGCAGAAAGCAGGUCCAGUUUACCGGGAUGCAGAGCGAGCACUGGGGUUCACCGCAAUGCGUGGGGAUAAAGUUCUAG